rnacentral:rRNA from 1 species
GAGAGGGAGCCUGAGAAACGGCUACCACAUCCAAGGAAGGCAGCAGGCGCGCAAAUUACCCACUCCCGGCACGGGGAGGUAGUGACGAAAAAUAACAAUACGGGACUCUUUUGAGACCCCGUAAUUGGAAUGAGUACACUCUAAAUCCUUUAACGAGGAUCUAUUGGAGGGCAAGUCUGGUGCCAGCAGCCGCGGUAAUUCCAGCUCCAAUAGCGUAUAUUAAAGUUGUUGCGGUUAAAAAGCUCGUAGUUGGAUCUCAGUUCCAGACGGGCGGUCCGCCUAACGGUGGUUACUGCCUGGCCUGAACAGCCAGCCGGUUUCCCUAGAUGAUCUUCACCGGUUGUCUUGGGUGACCGGCACGUUUACUUUGAAAAAAUUAGAGUGCUCAAAGCAGGCGUGUAGCCUGAAUAAUGGUGCAUGGAAUAAUGGAAUAGGACUUCGUUUCUAUUUUGUUGGUUUUCGGAACACGAGGUAAUGAUUAAGAGGGACAGACGGGGGCAUUCGUAUUGCGACGCUAGAGGUGAAAUUCUUGGACCGUCGCAAGACGAACUACUG